GGGGGCGCGCCGAUGUCCUCUCUGGUGCACUCAGCCAACCCCUGCUGUUGUAAGGUAAAGCCGCUGCUCUCCUGGUGUAUCGUUGGAAGGAACAGGCUUGCAUUCAGCGGAGAUCUCCCAAUUUGUUUUUUUUGUUUUGUUUUUUGUUUGUUGUUUUUUUUUUCUGCCUCUGAGAGAUUUUGCAUACAAUUUACGCAUGGAAUGGUUUCGGGGGGAUUGGAGUAGAAAUGCAGCGCCGCACUUCCAGCUAAUAACAAGAACCAUGCCCGGUUUACACUGCAAGCAAAUCUAUGACAUCCUGUUUUAUCCUUUACGACUUUGAUAUGAGUGAAUUUUUCUCGGCCGCCGACGACGAGGAGAGAAGAGAAUAAACGCAGCUUCAGGAGAGGAAGGACGCUGAUUUUUGCUGCAGACGCUUGUGCACCGAAAACCAUCUGCAUUUAGGAUUUUCUUUUUCUUUGAUGGAGCUGGAGAACAUUGUAGCCAACACUGUACUGCUGAAAGCGAGAGAGGGUGGAGGAGGAAAGAGGAAAGGACGGAGCAAAAAAUGGAAGGAGAUCCUUCGUUUUCCCCACAUAAGCCAGUGUACUGAACUGGGAAACAGCAUCGAGAAGGACUAUGUCAACAUCUGUGAGAAACAGCCUAUCGGACGGCUCCUUUUCCGUAUUUACUGUGAGACCAAACCUAAACUGCAACGAUGCAUCCAGCUACUGGACGCAAUGGAAGACUAUGAGGUGACGCCUGAUGAAAAAAGAAAAAGCAGAGGCGACCAGAUCCUCAAGAACUUUCUUUCGAAACAAUCGCCUCAGCGUGUGGACAUAGCUGAGGUUUUUGCAGACCAGUGCAGAGAGAAUCUGGAGCUCAGUCCAUGUAAGGAAAUCUUCAGCAACUGCCGCAAGGCUGUCCACGACUACCUGAGCGGAGCUCCGUUCGCAGACUACCAGAACAGCAUGUACUUCGACCGCUUUCUGCAGUGGAAGAUGCUGGAGUGGCAACCAAUCACUAAAGACACAUUUAGGCAGUACCGAGUCCUGGGAAAAGGAGGAUUCGGGGAGGUGUGCGCCUGUCAGGUCAGAGCCACAGGGAAGAUGUACGCCUGCAAGAAGCUGGAGAAGAAGAGAAUCAAGAAGAGGAAAGGAGAGUCCAUGGCUCUCAACGAGAAGCAGAUUUUAGAGAAAGUCAACAGUAGAUUUGUUGUGAGUUUAGCGUAUGCAUACGAGACCAAAGACGCUCUGUGUCUGGUGCUGACCAUCAUGAACGGCGGCGACUUGAAGUUCCACAUCUAUAACAUGGGCACUCCGGGGUUCGACAAAGACAGGGUCCAGUUCUACGCAGCACAAAUUGGAUGUGGACUUGAGCAUUUACACAGGGAAUCUAUAGUCUACAGGGAUUUGAAACCAGAGAAUAUCCUAUUAGAUGACAAUGGACACAUCCGUAUUUCUGACCUGGGGCUGGCCAUCAAAGUGCCUGACGGAGAGCUGAUCAGAGGCCGGGUUGGAACAGUCGGCUACAUGGCUCCGGAGGUGAUAAACAAUGAGAAAUACGGCAUGAGCCCAGAUUGGUGGGGGCUGGGCUGCCUGGUGUACGAGAUGACCGCGGGCCGAUCGCCCUUCCGCGCCCGCAAAGAGCGAGUGAAACGGGAGGAAGUGGAGAGGAGGGUGCAGGAGGAAGAGGAGGAGUACAACGACAAGUUUACAGAGGACGCCAAGGCCAUCUGUAGAAUGCUGCUCACCAAAGACCCGAAGCAAAGGCUGGGGUGCAAGGCGGAUGGAGCAGCAGGCAUCAAGGCCCACUCGUUUUUCAAAAACAUCAACUUCAAGAGGAUGGAGGCUGGAAUAGUGGACCCUCCCUUUGUGCCUGAUCCUCGGGCGGUGUACUGUAAGGAUGUUCUGGACAUUGAGCAGUUCUCCACAGUCAAGGGGGUAAAUUUGGACCAAACGGACAACGAUUUCUACUCCAAAUUCGCUACAGGCAGCGUUUCCAUCCCAUGGCAGAAUGAGGCAAAUGAUAGAAACUGAGUGUUUCAGAGAUUUGAAUGUGUUUGGGCCUCAAGGGACGAGACCCCCGGACCUGGACUGGAAUCAGCCGCCCGAGCCCCCUAGACGCAGCCUGCUGGACAGGAUCUUCAGGAGACACCACCCAGAGGUGUCUAUUUCCAACAGCCGUGUGCAGUCUUCCAGCGUAAACUCUGUGGACUCUAUGUCCAACUCUGCCCCCUAGUGGCACCGGGACUGUGCGGGAGCCACAUACACACAAAGGGAAGGAGUGCUGAGGGGCUUCCCCGCUGCUGAUUGGUCCACAGCUGGGGCCUGAGCAGCAGCCGGAGACAGUCUGUCUAAAAGCCUAAAUGGUCAGCCCGUGGGGAGGGAGGGGGGACGGCCAGACCCUGACACCCUGGGCAUUUGUAGUUGGAUGGUCAGUGUUGCAGAGAUGUUUGGAAAUAUUGAGACAAACUUUACUUACCCUCAGGAUUGUUGGACUAUAGAGCAGAGCCACUGAUGUUGAUGAAUACCGAAAAAGGAUAGUAACCAAGCUAAUAUUCAGGGGAUCCACUGUAUAAUAAAGACCACCACAGGGAAUAGAAGCUGGGGUCUUGGUGAAUUUACUUUUUUUGUUUGUUUGUUUUUCCAGAAAAAAAAUAAUUUUCUUUUUCAUUUUCAGUCUUUCUGGCCUGUAUCUUGUACCAGUAACUCUCCAUCUGUCUGCCCCCUCUCUCCAAGUGGUACCAUCUGCACAAAUCAUCUUAACUUAUUCUUUGUCCAUAUAUUUCACCUCCCAUACCUCAGAUCACUCCUAAACAUUCAGAAGACAUCACCUCAACAACCUCAACACAUAAUGUACAUUGCCUUGCGUACACUCAGGCCAAAGAUUACAGUUUAGUUUUGUGAUACUGUUGUCAUGUUGAGUUAUUGGAGGAUUUUUUUUUUUUUUUUUUUUUUAGGUUUUUAGCUGUCAUUUAGAACCACAGGAGGGUCAGAAUGUGUGAUCCGUUUUCUACAUUUUCUCUAAAUAUGAGCCUGCAAACAUAUCAUACCGCUUAAAGCCCACAUACAUACAGUACAUACAGAAUCAGAUAGACGCACAGACUCGGAGUUGUGAGAAUUGUGUCGUGUUUUCAUUGCAUGGACAAGUGUAAGUAUGGACAGCUGUAUCCCUUUUGCUUCUGCAUACCUCAUUCCACUGAUGUUACCAUCGUAUACACACAAACACACACGUCUCCCUCAGUUUACAGUCUCACUUUAUAUUUGAACAUUAUGUGGAAUUUUGAAAUCUAAUUAUAAGCUGUACAGAAAUCCUUUUUUUUUUUUUUUUUUUUUUUUUUUGGUUCAGUUUUCUGCAAAGUCCCACAGAGUGGAGAGGAACACAUGCACUCAGCCUGACUUACAAGUUGCACAAUUUAAAAUAAUGUCAUGCUGUUUUGUUACCAAAUGAAAAUGGUUUACCUCUGAUCAUUAAGGCACAUUAUUGUACUGAUAUUGUCACAUGCCGCUUGUUUUCUACAUCCAAAACUAAAGUGUUCUUGUUCUCCCUUUGCCUUUUUCCCUCUGAGAUAUUGCUGCCUCACCGUUGUUGUCUAAUGUACAGAUUGAUUUCUGUAGUUUGCCCCGUUACACUUACCCUUAACAUGCUCUUCAAAAUGCCUCACAAAUCUAAAGGGUCUUCCUCUUGUUUUGUGUCCAAGCAUAAUCAAAGACACGGGGUGUCGACAGCUAUGAAAGGUGUGAUUUCCUUUAACCAGUCCAGUGCAUCCAUGGGAGAGCAGAGCAUGAGGGGACGGACCCAGAGGACCCUGCAAGCACCACACAAAGAAGUGGCCUUCUCACAGCAGCACAGCCAAUCACAAGAGGAGAGCCCCGUCUCUUCUGAUUGUUCUAAGAAUGUGGUAUUAUCCCUAUACGAGAUAAUGAAAGCUGGUCCAUGCAGUAAUUCUGAUCAUUCCUACUGAUCUCACACGAGCCUGUUUUUUCUUAAUCUACAUACUUGACAUUAAAAAAAAAAAAAAAAAAUUGAAUCAGACUAAAGUGCCUCCUUGUUAGCAUGAUCUCCCA